GAGUUUGAUCCUGGCUCAGAUUGAACGCUGGCGGCAUGCCUUACACAUGCAAGUCGAACGGCAGCACGGGAGCUUGCUCCUGGUGGCGAGUGGCGAACGGGUGAGUAAUGCAUCGGAACGUAUCCUGGAGUGGGGGAUAACGUAGCGAAAGUUACGCUAAUACCGCAUAUUCUGUGAGCAGGAAAGCGGGGGACCUUCGGGCCUCGCGCUCUUGGAGCGGCCGAUGUCGGAUUAGCUAGUUGGUGAGGUAAAGGCUCACCAAGGCGACGAUCCGUAGCAGGUCUGAGAGGAUGAUCUGCCACACUGGAACUGAGACACGGUCCAGACUCCUACGGGAGGCAGCAGUGGGGAAUUUUGGACAAUGGGGGCAACCCUGAUCCAGCCAUGCCGCGUGAGU
rnacentral:rRNA from 2 species